rnacentral:tRNA from 1 species
AAGGAUUUAAGUUAAAAAAACUAUCAACCUUCAAAGUUGAAAAUAGACAAUAUCUAAGCCUUA